UCCUGAUGCCAAGGUUGCAGCUUCACAGGC
rnacentral:piRNA from 1 species